AGCCAUGCGAGUUAACGUAGACAAUACGUGGCAUACGGCUCAGUAACACGUGGUCAACAUACCCAGAGGACGUGGAUAACCUCGGGAAACUGAGGAUAAACCGCGAUAGACCAUAAUGUCUGGAAUGAUUUAUGGUUCAAAUCUACUUGGCCUCUGGAUUGGACUGCGGCCGAUCAGGCUGUUGGUGAGGUAAUGGCCCACCAAACCUGAAACCGGUACGGGCUCUGAGAGGAGAAGCCCGGAGAUGGGCACUGAGACAAGGGCCCAGGCCCUAUGGGGCGCAGCAGGCGCGAAAUCUUUGCAAUAGGCGAAAGCCUGACAAGGUUACUCUGAGUGAUCUCCGCUAAGGAAAUCUUUUGACACCUCUAAAAGUGGUGUAGAAUAAGGGGUGGGCAAGCCUGGUGUCAGCCGCCGCGGUAAUACCAGCACCCCGAGUGGUCGGGACGAUUAUUGGGCCUAAAGCAUCCGUAGCCGGUUCCUUAAGUCCUCCGUUAAAUCCACCUGCUUAACAGAUGGGCUGCGGAGGAUACUAUAGAGCUAGGAGGCGGGAGAGGCAAGCGGUACUCAGUGG
rnacentral:rRNA from 1 species